CUCUGAUUCAUGGGAGUGUGCCUUCAGACUCAGCUCCACAAUUUUCUGCCACAGGUGAGGGGAACCAUGCUGAAAAACCUGCAGUAAGCCCUCCAUGAAGGCCCAGGGCAUGAUCCUUUAAGCAUCUGUGAAGGCAGGUGGGAGUCUGCUGUUGGAGUUGUUUCUGCUUAGUGAAAGAUGUUUGCAUGCUCACUGUACCUGGCUCCCAGGGUCAAGUCUCUGUUCUAAUCCUGCUACUAUUGAAAUCAACGGCAAGCCUCCCA
rnacentral:lncRNA from 14 species